UCCCUGCAGAAUCUAGACAAUAGAGAAUGGGGAAUAAGAUAUGGCUAUUGCAGUGCCCAGAUGAGGUGAGAGCAAACUGCUACAGAGAUAAAAAGCCACAACAUGAUGAUCAUGUAGUCAAGCAUCUGAAGACUAGCGAGGAGAAGAAACGCCUGCUUUGGAUGAGCAAGGAAGAACUAACAACUAGCUGUACCAGAUAAACAUGUUCAAGCUAGUAGAAUCUCCAAAUGCUAUGUUGAAUGAGCACCACGGAUGAAGGAGGCGGAGGAAAACAGACAGCUUCUAUCUACCAUACCUUCACCAAGUCAUGCAAUGUUUGCUUCAUGAACAAUUGUUACAUCUGAAAUACAUUAUUUUUAUUCUUUUAUGCUGGAUGUGGGUAAUUUAGCAGGUCUAUUGUAUAAUGUAUUGUUUUGAAAUGUUGAACUAUCUAUUCAGUCUCAACUCACAUUAUUUAAGCAAACAUAAAAUAAGUGUUUGUACUGUUACUUUUUACAUGCUGAAACAGUCAUUAGUUUUGAGCUAGACUAUGAUCUGGGAAAUGUCUACUACCCUUAAUGUUGCUGAUGAAUGAAAUUAGCACUGUUUAUAAUAGUUUGUUGCUACUGUCUGGUGAGGAAGUGAACAAUACGAAAUACAUUGGAGGAAGGGAGAAUGAAUGAAAUCAGAACUUGGACAGUGUCAGGGAAUUAAGUAGGUAAAUGUACAGCCUGCAGUAUCAAUGACAAAAGAAACUGUGCAGAGGUAGCCUUAAGAUAACUGUAAAAGUUUAUAAAUUCCUUUUUAGAAAACAUUUUAAUUCAGCCUUUGUGGUUUUGAAAGUGUAGUGACUAUUGCUUUAAUUUAUUCAUCAAACAAAUGGGGUUUUGGAAAAGUAGGUACUUCUCAAAACUGUUUCCAUCCACCAGAUGGGAUUGUCAUUGUUUUUAUAUACACAUAUACUAUAGACAAGGAAACGUUAUGGAUAGCUAAUUAAAAACAAAAAUUACCUUUGAA